CAUCCAUUAAAGUAAUGGCUGACAAACGACAGGCAGCCAUCAUAGACCAAAGAGACUUGGAACCCAAACUUGAAAUUAUCAGAACAAAAACAAAAGAACUACAAGGACAGAUUUCCCAAGAAAUCUCCAAGAAAUACAAGAACAGGCCUGUGAAUAUUAUGGGUGAAAUAAACACUAUCUAAAAACAGACUAUUUAUUUCAUUUGUACUGUGUUUAGAUUUAAGAUAAUUUAAAAAAUGCUAAGAUAAUUUUGUCAGUCAUUAUGUUAAGUUCUCAUCAUUCAACAUAAUGUACCUCAGAGAAUGAGUUUUUUAACUCUACAAUGGUAGGGCAAAUGCCCCAUGUAUUAAUUCUUGAACAAAUAAAAACGUAGAGCAUAA